rnacentral:rRNA from 1 species
UACGUAGGGUCCGAGCGUUGUCCGGAAUUACUGGGCGUAAAGAGCUCGUAGGUGGUUUGUCGCGUUGUUCGUGAAAACUCACAGCUUAACUGUGGGCGUGCGGGCGAUACGGGCAGACUUGAGUACUGCAGGGGAGACUGGAAUUCCUGGUGUAGCGGUGGAAUGCGCAGAUAUCAGGAGGAACACCGGUGGCGAAGGCGGUUCUCUGGGCAUGUCCUGACGCUGAGGAGCGAAAGUGUGGGGAGCGAACAGG